rnacentral:rRNA from 1 species
CCUACGGGUGGCAGCAGUGGGGGAUAUUGCACAAUGGGGGAAACCCUGAUGCAGCGACGCCGCGUGGGUGAAGAAGCGCCUCGGCGCGUAAAGCCCUGUCAGCAGGGAAGAAAAUGACGGUACCUGAAGAAGAAGCCCCGGCUAACUACGGGCCAGCAGCCGCGGUAAUACGUAGGGGGCAAGCGUAAUCCGGAUGUACUGGGUGUAAAGGGGGCGCAGACGGCGAUGCAAGCCAGGAGUGAAAGCCCGGGGCCCAACCCCGGGACUGCUCUUGGAACUGCGUGGCUAGAGUGCAGGAGGGGCAGGCGGAAUUCGUGGUGUAGCGGUGAAAUGCGUAGAUAUCAGGAGGAACACCGGUGGCGAAGGCGGCCUGCUGGACUGCAACUGACGUUGAGGCACGAAAGCGUGGGGAGCAAACAGGAUUAGAUACCCGUGUAGUC